rnacentral:rRNA from 1 species
GACGAACGCUGGCGGCGUGCUUAACACAUGCAAGUCGAGCGGAAAGGCCCCUUCGGGGGUACUCGAGCGGCGAACGGGUGAGUAACACGUGGGUAAUCAACCCCUGACAUCGGGAUACCCCGGGGAAACCCGGAUCAAUACCGGAUAAGGUGCGGAGGCGCAGGCCGCCGUACCAAAGGUAGCUUCGGCUUCCGGUCAGGGACGAGCCCGCGGCCCAUUAGCUUGUUGGUGGGGUAAUGGCCCACCAAGGCGACGAUGGGUAGCUGGUCUGAGAGGACGAUCAGCCACACUGGGACUGAGACACGGCCCAGACUCCUACGGGAGGCAGCAGUGGGGAAUCUUGCGCAAUGGGCGGAAGCCUGACGCAGCAACGCCGCGUGCGGGAAGAAGGCCCUAGGGUCGUAAACCGCUUUCAGGGGGGACGAAGCUUCCGGGGUUAAUAGCCUACGGGGUGACGGUACUCCCAGAAGAAGGUCCGGCUAACUACGUGCCAGCCGCCGCGGUAA